CAAUGAGAGGAAUCACUUCAGACAAGCUAGGGAAUGAUGUCAUAAAGGGCGUGGUAUUUCUGCUAAGAACUGAAGGCUCUGAUUGCACCAGCAGGGAGAAGGACUUAAAGUAAGAAAUAAGAAUGUGAGCAAAGUCAGGCGGCUUUAAGAUGUGACAGAAAAACAGCUCAUUUUGUCACGAGCACAUUAAAGGGAAUGAGAGUAGAUAACUAAAAGAAGGUUACGAACAUAGUACUGAAGAUUCUACACAGAUUUUACUUCGGGGCAAUGAAAAGCACCAGCCUUUUCAGUAGCUACCUCAAAUUUUAAGAUUUCUAUUAAAUAUGGAAGAAAGAAGAAAAGAAACGAAAAAACGAAAAAGAAAAAAAGAAAAAAGAAAAUUCGGACAAAGUACUUCUUCAGUAUAAUCACCUAAAAGUACGUAAUAGAGUUCAAAGACUCUGAAGAACUAAAGCUAUAUGGAAAUCAUCUUAUAGGCUCUUUCCUGGAUAAUUGGAAAUAUUCUUUGUUCUAAACACAAUUCAUUUUCUUUGCACCAAUUAUCAGAGUACAAUACUUGUCAUGCUGUUAUUAAAUUCAGAAACACACAAA